GCGUGGGUGAAGAAGGCCUUCGGGUUGUAAAGCCCUUUUGUUGGGAAAGAAAAGCAGUCGGUUAAUACCCGAUUGUUCUGACGGUACCCAAAGAAUAAGCACCGGCUAACUUCGUGCCAGCAGCCGCGGUAAUACGAAGGGUGCAAGCGUUACUCGGAAUUACUGGGCGUAAAGCGUGCGUAGGUGGUUGUUUAAGUCCGUUGUGAAAGCCCUGGGCUCAACCUGGGAAUUGCAGUGGAUACUGGGCAACUAGAGUGUGGUAGAGGAUGGCGGAAUUCCCGGUGUAGCAGUGAAAUGCGUAGAGAUCGGGAGGAACAUCUGUGGCGAAGGCGGCCAUC
rnacentral:rRNA from 1 species